CAGUCGCCGCGGUAAUACGAAGGGUGCAAGCGUUACUCGGAAUUACUGGGCGUAAAGCGUGUGUAGGUGGUUGUUUAAGUCUGUCGUGAAAGCCCUGGGCUCAACCUGGGAAUUGCGAUGGAUACUGGGCGACUAGAGUGCGGUAGAGGAUAGUGGAAUUUCCGGUGUAGCAGUGAAAUGCGUAGAGAUCGGAAGGAACAUCUGUGGCGAAGGCGACUAUCUGGGCCAACACUGACACUGAGACACGAAAGCGUGGGGAGCAAACAGGAUUAGAUACCCCUGUAGUCCCUGUCUCUUAUAA
rnacentral:rRNA from 1 species